CCCAUAGACAUGGGGGAACCUAUGAACAAUGGAAGAAAGAAAGAAUGAAAAGACUAAGAAUUUGGCUAGGAGUGUAUUGUGUGCUCUCUUCUGUCAGGGAUGCAAAACCUAUAGCCCCAGGGUCCUUUAAAUAGUGCCAGAAGUGUCCCAAAUUGCGGCCUACUCCAAAAGAAUCAAAUCAGAGCAGAAACAGGCCCCGAUCCAAGUCAAUUCACGCUCACGCGUCGAAUGGGGCUCGCCUAAGCGUGAAUCAAGGCUCAUGUUGCGCUUGGGCGCCAGUUUUUCUCGCCCAAGCUAGGAACGUCUGUCAUUUGCAAAAACCCCUUCCUAAGUGUUCUAAUCUCCACCCAAUCACCAAUAUCACAGUUCCAAAACAUAUUCAUGCAAUUUAAUCGGUGCAAAAUGUUUCUAUUUCAUCAAAUCAUGCAUAGAAAUCAAAAGCCCUAAUUUUAUCAUACUUCUACACAUGUUCUUCAUCAAAUUUAGAUUCUAGAAACCCUAAGAUUGAAAUUGCAUGACUUACUUGGGUGGAGAUACUCUAGAUGCUUACAAUUGCCUCUUGAAUGAUGAUAAUGCCUUCCCAAUGCAAUGC
rnacentral:lncRNA from 1 species